rnacentral:rRNA from 1 species
GAUGAACGCUAGCGGCAGGCCUAACACAUGCAAGUCGAGGGGUAGGGUUAGCUUGCUAACUUGAGACCGGCGCACGGGUGCGUAACGCGUAUGCAAUCUACCUUGUACAGAGGGAUAGCCCAGAGAAAUUUGGAUUAAUACCUCAUAGUAUCUUUACCUGGCAUCGGGUAAUUAUUAAAGUUCCAACGGUACAAGAUGAGCAUGCGUCCCAUUAGUUAGUUGGUAAGGUAACGGCUUACCAAGACAAUGAUGGGUAGGGGUCCUGAGAGGGAGAUCCCCCACACUGGUACUGAGACACGGACCAGACUCCUACGGGAGGGCAGCAGUGAGGAAUAAUUGGUCAAUGGACGCAAGUCUGAACCAGCCAUGCCGCGUGCAGGAAGACGGUCCUAUGGAUUGUAAACUAGCUUUUAUUACAGGAAGAAACAAACUCUACGUGUAGAGUCUUUGACGGUACUGUAGGAA